rnacentral:rRNA from 1 species
GGGCCAGACUCCUUCGGGAGGCAGCAGUGGGGGAUAUUGCACAAUGGGGGGAACCCUGAUGCAGCGACGCCGCGUGGGUGAAGAAGCGCCUCGGCGCGUAAAGCCCUGUCAGCAGGGAAGAAAAUGACGGUACCUGAAGAAGAAGCCCCGGCUAACUACGUGCCAGCAGCCGCGGUAAUACGUAGGGGGCAAGCGUUAUCCGGAUUUACUGGGUGUAAAGGGGGCGCAGACGGCGAUGCAAGCCAGGAGUGAAAGCCCGGGGCCCAACCCCGGGACUGCUCUUGGAACUACCGGGCUGGAGUGCCGGAGAGGUAGGCGGAAUUCCUAGUGUAGCGGUGAAAUGCGUAGAUAUUAGGAGGAACACCAGUGGCGAAGGCGGCCUGCUGGACCGCGACUGACGUUGAGGCUCGAAAGCGUGGGGAGCGAACAGGAUUAGAUACCCUUGUA